rnacentral:rRNA from 1 species
UAGGGAAUCUUCGGCAAUGGACGAAAGUCUGACCGAGCAACGCCGCGUGAGUGAAGAAGGUUUUCGGAUCGUAAAACUCUGUUGUUAGAGAAGAACAAGGACGUUAGUAACUGAACGUCCCCUGACGGUAUCUAACCAGAAAGCCACGGCUAACUACGUGCCAGCAGCCGCGGUAAUACGUAGGUGGCAAGCGUUGUCCGGAUUUAUUGGGCGUAAAGCGAGCGCAGGCGGUUUCUUAAGUCUGAUGUGAAAGCCCCCGGCUCAACCGGGGAGGGUGAUUGGAAACUGGGAGAAUUGAGUGCAGAAGAGGAGAGUGGAAUUCCAUGUGUAGCGGUGAAAUGCGUAGAUAUAUGGAGGAACACCAGUGGGGAAGGCGGCUCUCUGGUCUGUAACUGACGCUGAGGCUCGAAAGCGUGGGGAGCAAACAGG